CAGUCGCCGCGGGAAUACGUAGGGUGCGAGCGUUAAUCGGAAUUACUGGGCGUAAAGCGUGCGCAGGCGGUUGUGUAAGACAGGUGUGAAAUCCCCGGGCUUAACCUGGGAACUGCGCUUGUGACUGCACAGCUAGAGUAUGGCAGAGGGGGGUGGAAUUCCACGUGUAGCAGUGAAAUGCGUAGAGAUGUGGAGGAACACCGAUGGCGAAGGCAGCCCCCUGGGCCAAUACUGACGCUGAGGCACGAAAGCGUGGGGAGCAAACAGGAUUAGAUACCCCCGUAGUCCCUGUCUCUUAUAC
rnacentral:rRNA from 1 species